UACGUAGGUGACCAGCGUUGUCCGGAUUUACUGGGCGUAAAGAGCGCGCAGGCGGUCGUUCAAGUCGAGUGUGAAAGCCCCCGGCUCAACUGGGGAGGGUCACUCGAUACUGAUCGACUUGAAGGCAGGAGAGGGAAGCGGAAUUCCCGGUGUAGUGGUGAAAUGCGUAGAUAUUGGGAGGAACACCAGUGGCGAAGGCGGCUCACUGGACCGGUACUGACGCUGAUGCGCGAAAGCGUGGGGAGCAAACAGG
rnacentral:rRNA from 1 species